rnacentral:rRNA from 1 species
AGUGAACGCUGGCGGCAGGCCUAACACAUGCAAGUCGAGCGGCAGCGCGGGGGCAACCCUGGCGGCGAGCGGCGGACGGGUGAGGAAUACAUCGGAAUCUACCUUCUUGUGGGGGAUAACGUAGGGAAACUUACGCUAAUACCGCAUGAGACCUGAGGGUGAAAGCAGGGGGCCGCAAGGCCUUGCGCGAGAAGAUGAGC